UACGUAGGGGGCUAGCGUUGUCCGGAAUCAUUGGGCGUAAAGCGCGCGUGGGCGGCCCGGUAAGUCCGCUGUAAAAGUCAAAGGCUCAACCUUUGAAUGUCAGUGGAUACUGCCGGGCUAGAGUCCGGAAGAGGCGAGUGGAAUUCCUGGUGUAGCGGUGGAAUGCGCAGAUAUCAGGAGGAACACCAACGGCGAAGGCAGCUCGCUAGGACGGUACUGACGCUAAGGCGCGAAAGCGUGGGGAGCGAACAGG
rnacentral:rRNA from 1 species